CGGAUACGAACCGUAGACCUUCUCGGUAAAACAGAUCAAACGAAUUAUUAUCGAAAUUGUUUGAACUGUUUCAAAGACCCAACAUGCAGUGCUAGCAGAUGUAGAACUACGGUAGGAUUGGAUGAGCACCAGACAGUGGUCAGAGGAACUCUUCGGAAGACCAUGUUUUGGUCAUCUUGA
rnacentral:rRNA from 1 species